rnacentral:rRNA from 1 species
CCUACGGGAGGCAGCAGUGGGGAAUAGUGCACAAUGGGGGAAACCCUGAUGCAGCGACGCCGCGUGAGUGAAGAAGGAUUUCGGUAGGUAAAGCUCUAUCAGCAGGGAAGAGAAUGACGGUACCUGACGAAGAAGCCCCGGCUAACGACGUGCCAGCAGCCGCGGUAAGACGUAGGGGGCAAGCGUUAUCCGGAUUUACGGGGGGGAAAGGGAGCGUAGGGGGCAGGGAAAGUCAGAUGGGAAAACCCGGGGCUCAACCCCGGGAGUGCAUUUGAAACUGUCCAGCUGGAGUGCAGGAGAGGUAAGCGGCAUUCCUCGUGUCGCGGUGAAAUGCAUAGCUAUUAGG